rnacentral:sRNA from 1 species
UAUAGAUUUAACUUGCCUUGUUUUGUUCUCUUGCAUUUUCUUUGAACAGAAUAAUAAAUGAGUCCCUCAGGGAGCAACUUCUAGUUACCAUUCAGAAAACAUUUAAUUAUAAUAAGGCACAAUCACAUCAGCUGUUUGCAAUUAUAAUGGAGUGCAUGAAGAAGAAAGAACUCGUCACUGUGUUCAGAAUGGGUUCUGAGGGCCAGCAGGACAUCGAGAUGGCAAUUUUAACUGCCCUGCUGAAAGGAACAAAUGUAUCUGCUCCAGAUCAGCUGAGCUUGGCACUGGCUUGGAACCGCGUGGACAUAGCACGAAGCCAGAUCUUUGUCUUUGGGCCCCACUGGCCGGUGAAACUGUUUUUUUCAAUUCAUAUCAUUGAUCAUGACUUUGUACAAGUGACAUAUUAGUAUGUUCUCCCUUGUGAC